ACUCUGCUCUGUGGUACCAGAUACAUAGUACAGGACUCUGUUCUGUGGUACCAGAUACAUAGUACAGGACUCUGUGGUACCAGAUACAUAGUACACGACUCUGUUAUGUGGUACCAGAUACGUAGUACAGGACUCUGUGGUACCAGAUACAUAGUACAGGACUCUGUGGUACCAGAUACAUAGUACAGGACUCUGUUCUGUGGUACCAGAUACGUAGUACAGGACUCUGUGGUACCAGAUACAUAGUACAGGACUCUGUGGUACCAGAUACAUAGUACAGGACUCUGCUCUGUGGCACCAUACCAGGCAUUCAUCUUUCUUUCACUAUUCUGAUACUUACUAUUCCUCCUCCAGAGGCUGCUGUCCCCCUGGCUGGUCCCCUGGCUGGCCCCCUGGCUGGUCGGCUCAGAGGCCCAGGCAAACAGAGCUCCAUGGCCAUCUACAAAGACAGAUCUGAUGUCCAUGCCCCCUGGGACCCCUCCGAUCCUGGGAGGGCCAUGGUCAGAGGCAGCCUACCCCUGGAGCUCAGAGGUAAGCGGCCCACAUCAUAGGACUCUGUGUUCAGUAGAUGUCUGGUAUGUUGAUAAGGCCCUUCUAGAUGCUCAGUUAGGCACACUAUUCCCUAUAUAGUGCACUGCUUUUGACCAGGGCCCAUUGGCACCAUAUUCUUGUCCAAAUUACUGAUAUAGUGAAUAGGGUGCCAUUUCAGACACAACCUCUGUGUGUUCUCAGAGUGGCAGCAGCAGACAGGCAGAUCCCAGGGCACCUUGAUCUUGGGUCCUGAUGGUGAGGUUAUACAGAUGUCCCCGUGGGACCCUAAUAAUACGUCUGCCACUGAGGACCAGCCCGCCGUUACCUCUGCUCUGGACCAGGUCACACGAGACCAUGCUCUCCAGGUCCUAACCUCAGAGGGGGAGCUACCCUGGGUCCUACUGAUGCAAACACAGCCUAUAGCCACAGGGGAAGCCAGUAAUCCCGAAGGACCCCCAACCAACAUGGAACAAUGUGAAUUAUUCCAAACGGUAGGAUCUGAUGGACAAACUGUCCUGUCUGGUGGCCAGAGACACAGACAGGGACCUGAAUCUUCCAGGAACAGAACUACAGGGAAACAGCUGCACCCAGACACUCAGAGACCUGGAGGAAGCGAUAAAGACAUGGCUGCUGUCAGCUACAACCUCCGCAGCAGGACAGUGGAGAUACCAAGACAGGAGGAAGGGAAGGAGGUGAGGAGGGAGGAAGAUGAGGAGACGUCUACAACAAGGAAGAGGAGCCAGGAUCGGGUUCAGCCAGGUCCACAGAGGAGUGGGGUAUCCUCCUUACCUACCACAGAAGAAGAAGAGACCAAAAACAUCAACCCCCACAAACCUUCACAGCCCAUCCCCACAGGCCACUCUACAGAAUGGGCCUUCUCUCAGAACAGAAAUCCCAAACACUCAGAGGGACCCCUUACACCCAGUGGCAGGAAAGGAGGCCAUUCUAAGAAAACAAACGUGACAGUAGAUGAGCAGAAUCCACAGCAGGCAGAGGGACAGACACAGGAAACAGGGGAACAAGCCAGCAGAGAGAAGCUGGAGGACACAUUGAAUAAAGAGGUGGGAUCCCAGGACUCUCCUACUGUACAGAAAAUGGUACGUCAAGGUGUUCAAAUCUAAUUUCAUUGGUCACAUACAUGUAAAUAAGAAUUUGUUCUUAACUGACUUGCCUAGUUAAGUAAAGGUUCAAUAAAUAAAUAUACUUGGUUAGAAGAUUAUAUACAAUUGAAAUGCUUGUGCUUCUAGUUCCGAUAAUAAUAUCUAUAUCUAUAUCUAUAUAAUAAUAUCUAACAAGUAAUAUCUAACAAUUACACAACAACUACCUUAUACACACAAAUCUAAGUGAAGGAUUGGAAUAAGAAUAUAUAAAUAUAAAUAUAUGGAUGAGCGAUGUCAGAGCGGCAUAGAUCAAGAUACAGUAGGAUAGUAUAGAAUACAGUAUAUACAUAUGAGAUGAGUAAUGUAUAGACUGAGAUACAGUAGGAUAGUAUAGAAUUCUGUAUAUACAUAUGAGAUGAGUAAUGUAUAGACUGAGAUACAGUAGAUAGUAUAGAAUACAGUAUAUACAUAUGAGAUGAGUAAUGUAUAGACUGAGAUACAGUAGAUAGUAUAGAAUACAGUAUAUACAUAUGAGAUGAGUAAUGCAAGAUAUGUAAACAUUAUUAAAGUGACUAGUGAUCCAUUUAUUAAAGUGGCCAGUGAUUUCAGGUCUGUAUGUUGGCAGCAGCCUCUCAAUGUUAGUGGUGGCUGUUUAACAGUCUGAUGGCCUUGAGAUAUAAGCUGUUUUUCAGUCUCUCGGUCCCAGCUUUGAUGCACCUGUACUGACCUCGCCUUCUGGAUGAUAGCAGGGUGAACAGGCAGUGGCUCGGGUGGUUGUUGUCCUUGAUGAUCCUUCUGGAUGAUAGCAGGGUGAACAGGCAGUGGCUCCGGUGGUUGUUGUCCUUGAUGAUCUUUUUGGCCUUCCUGUGACAUCGGGUGCUGUAGGUGUUCUGGAGGGCAGGUAGUUUGCCCCCGGUGAUGCGUUGUGCAUACCUCACUACCCUCUGGAUAGCCUUGCGGUUGUGGGCGGUGCAGUUGCCGUACCAGUCGGUGAUACAGCCUGACAGGAUGCUCUCAAUUGUGCACUUGUAAAAGUUUGUGAGAGUUUUAGGUGACAAGUCAAAUUUCUUCAGCCUCCUGAGGUUGAAGAGGCGCUGUCGUCGUUGUUGGUAAUCAAACCUACCACUGUAGUGUCGUUUGCAAACUUGAUGAUUGAGUUGGAGGCGUGCAUGGCCACGCAGUCGAGUACAGGAGAAGGCUGAGAACGCACGCUUGUGGGGCCCCAGUGUUGUCCCAAGUGACACCCCAUUCCCUACAUAGUGCACUUCUAUUGACCAGAGCCCUAUGGGCCCUAGUGCACUAUAUAGAGUGCCCUUAAUGUUUCCAACACAUAGUACUGUAGUUUAAUAACCCCCCCCCUGUAUCCAACACAUUAUACUGUAGUUUAAUAACCCC
rnacentral:lncRNA from 13 species